UUUUUUCCAUGACGAUCAAUAAAAAACGACAGUGUUACCCCCUAUGUUUUUUUUCAUGACGACCAAUAAAAAACGACAGUGUUACCCCUUAUGUUUUUUUUCAUGACGACCAAUAAAAAACAAAAGUGUUACCCCUUAUGUUUUUUUUCAUGACGACCAAUAAAAAACAACAGUGUUACACAUUACGUUUUUUUUCAUGACGACCAAUAAAAAACAACAGUUGUUACCCCUUAUGUUUUUUUCAUGACGACCAUUAUAAAAACGACAGUGUUACCCCUUAUGUUUUUUUCAUGACGACCAAUAAAAAACGACAGUGUUACCCCUUAUGUUUUUAUUCAUGACGACCAAUAAAAAACGACAGUGUUACCCCUUAUGUUUUUUUUAUGACGACAAAUAAAAAACGACAGUGUUACCCCUUAUGUUUUUUUUCAUGACGACCAAUUAAAAACGACAGUGUUACCCCUUAUGUUUUUUUUCAUGACGACCAAUUAUAAACGACAGUGUAACCCCCUAUGUCUUUUUUCAUGACUACCAAUAAAAAACAACAGUGUUACCCCUUAUGUUUUUUUCCAUGACGACCAAUAUAAAAACGACAGUGUUACCCCUUAUGUUUUUUUCAUGACGACCAAUAAAAAACAACAGUGUUACCCCUUAUGUUUUUUUCAUGACGACCAAUUAAAAACGAGUGUUACCCCUUAUGUUUUUUUUCAUGACUACUGAUAAAAAACAACAGCGUUACCCCUUAUGUUUUUUUUCAUGACGACCAAUAAAAAACAACAGUGUUACACCUUACGUUUUUUUUCAUGACGACCAAUAAAAAACAACAGUGUUACCCCCUUAUGUUUUUUUCAUGACGACCAAUAAAAAAAGAAAGUGUUACCCCUUAUGUUUUUUUCCAUGACGAUCAAUAAAAAAACGACAGUGUUACCCCUUAUGUUUUUUUUCAAGACGACCAAUUAAAAACGACAGUGUUACCCC
ensembl:lncRNA